ensembl:ncRNA Y42H9B.9 ncRNA
GUGAGAGAGAGACAGAACCCACGGGGCCACCAAUCCGUCCGUCAUUACACGAUCAAGGCCAUUUUCUGUAGAGAAGGGAAUGGUGACGGCGGACGAGUGCCGUCGUUCUCUUUCUUUUGGCCCCCACGGUAUAUGGAAUCUGAACACGAUGAUGACAAUCAGGUGUUCGUGCACUUUCCCCUUGUUGUUCUCAUCGACCUGAUUAUGGUU